UUAAAACAUUUUUUUUUAUUUAUUUUUUAGUUUUCGGCGGACACAACAUCUUUGUAUGUGGUGCUGAGGAUCGAACCCGGGCCGCACGCAUGCCAGGCGAGCGCGCUACCACUUGAGCCACAUCCCCAGCCCACAUUAAAACAUUUUUAAGAAGAAAUUCCUCAUGUCAAACUGCUUUAUCACUUUGGUAAUACCUCUUCUGGAAAGAUAGAUAUUUUACUGACUUGACUUCAAAAAAUGUAUGUUUGUAUUUAAAUUCCUGGCUACUUCUCCCUGAAGGUGUGCAGGGGUCAGGCUAUAAUUGUGUGUUUCAGUACUGCUCCGGGUAUUGUUUUAUAUUCCAAAGGGCACCUGGCCUCUGAACCAUGAGACACCUGGAUUCCUCUGGUCUACAUCCAAAAAUUUAGGCCAGGGUAGGGUUUGGACUAAAUUGAAAAGAACAAGAUUUCAGUUAUUAUGAAGAUACAUAACAUAUGCAGUAUUUUAGAAAGCAGGAUUUUUUUUUCCCUGUCCUUUAUUUCCUAGACCUCAGUCAACUCCUAGUAUCUGAAGGAAAACAUGAAAUAUGGGCCCAGGAGAAUAUGAUUUUAUUCAAUUGCAUUUCUUGUUAGAGAGCUCUGCAUUUCUAAGGUAUCAUUGGACAUAAGGACCACAGAGAGAAUUGCAAACCUCAUACACAAGUAAAUGUGCACCUGCAAAUGCAAUUAGCAAGCGCCCAACAUCCACUUUGCACAAAACACAUUAAAAGAGUCUGUAAGAACCACAGACAGAGACCUCAGACUCCCUAGAAGGAAGUGCCCAGGGAAGAAAAGCCAAAUGAACUAAGACAGAGCUACAGGGAAUGGGAUAAAUACAACACUUGAAAAUCCAAAACACUCUCUGAGAACAAGAAGCCUGAAGUCAGAGAUCAGACCAGGCCAAGCCUCUGCAGCAAAGGAAUGAGGGAAAGAUUCCCCUCCAAUUGAUUCUAUUCCCUGGAUGCCCAAGAAUUUCCUGAACUGAAUCAGCCCCAAUUCCACCCCUACUCUUCAAAGGAGUGUCUAGAGACAAAUGCAGAAACGUUGCUGCAUCUCUGGUCCACUUUCUCCCUGGGGGAAGGAGCACCCAUCCACUUCAGCCAUCAGAACAUAGCUGCCAAUGUGGCAGCCCCAAACACACCUGUACCAGUGCUCAGCAGAAACCGCCAAUUUCACAGAAUUUCU
rnacentral:lncRNA from 1 species